UAUACAAAAUCAUUUUCGUGAGUUUGACUUUGGCUCGAAAUUAACGCGCGCGAAGCGUCUUGACAC
rnacentral:tRNA from 1 species